ensembl:lncRNA
GCAUGAACAACCUUGUCUACAUGUCAGCCUUUUUUACUUUUUUCAUUAUUUUUCCUCAGGGUCUGUAAGCAUCAUAAAAGUUUCCCAAAGUAUGUACGUAAUGGCUCAAUAUUCACCAAGUCUCACAUCCCUCUGACAAAAUGGCUUGAGUUCAUGCACAGAUUUGCCCAAGGUUUGCAGUUGAAGCAACUUGCCAUGAUCAGUGACAGGAUAGCAGCAAGCUCCAGGACAUUGACAAGAAUGGCAAAAGUACUCUGAAAGGUCUGCAUUGCUGCUGUCAAGCGACAGAGGAAAAGAUGUAUGAGGAUUGGUGGUCGUCAUCAAGUUGUUGUUAUUGACGAGAGCAAAUUUGCCCACAAACGAAAGUGGGUCUUUGGGAUGUUGGAGGUCGACAAGAAGUCCAGAAGACCCAUUCUGAGACUUGUCAGGGAUCGCAGAAGGAAGACACUUAUAGGUCAUAUUAGACGCCAUGUCAGACCCAGAACAUCCAUCCUCAGUGAUGAAUGGCGUGCCUACAAAGGGCAACUUGCCCAGUAUGGGUAUGAUCAUUAUUCGGUCUGCCAUAAAAACAACUUUGUGGACCGAGAGACU